GGAUCCAGACUUUGAUCCUGGCUCAGGACGAACGCUGGCGGCGCGCCUAACACAUGCAAGUCGAGCGGGAAGCUUUUUAAGGAUUCUUCGGAUGAAUUAAAAAGUGGAGAGCGGCGGACGGGUGAGUAACGCGUGAGAAACCUGCCCUAUACAGGGGGAUAGCCAUUGGAAACGAUGAUUAAUACCCCAUAUGACCACAGUAUCGCAUGAUACAGCGGUGAAAACUCCGGUGGUAUAGGAUGGUCUCGCGUCUGAUUAGCUAGUUGGUGGGUAACGGCCUACCAAGGCGACGAUCAGUAGCCGGCCUGAGAGGGUGACCGGCCACACUGGAGCUGAGACACGGUCCAGACUCCUACGGGAGGCAGCAGUGGGGAAUAUUGCACAAUGGGCGAAAGCCUGAUGCAGCGACGCCGCGUGAACGAUGAAGGCUUUCGAGUCGUAAAGUUCUGUUCUUGGGGAAAGAUAACGACGGUACCCAAGGAGAAAGCACCGGCUAAAUACGUGCCAGCAGCCGCGGUAAU
rnacentral:rRNA from 1 species